rnacentral:rRNA from 1 species
AUUGAACGCUGGCGGAAUGCUUUACACAUGCAAGUCGAACGGCAGCACGGGAGCUUGCUCCUGGUGGCGAGUGGCGAACGGGUGAGUAAUGCAUCGGAACGUGCCCAUUUGUGGGGGAUAACUAGUCGAAAGACUAGCUAAUACCGCAUAAGAUCGAGAGAGGAAAGCGGGGGAUCGUAAGACAUCGCGCAGAUGGAGCGGCCGAUGUCCGAUUAGCUAGUUGGUGAGGUAAAGGCUCACCAAGGCGACGAUCGGUAGCUGGUCUGAGAGGACGACCAGCCACACUGGGACUGAGACACGGCCCAGACUCCUACGGGAGGCAGCAGUGGGGAAUUUUGGACAAUGGGCGAAAGCCUGAUCCAGCCAUUCCGCGUGCAGGAUGAAGGCCUUCGGGUUGUAAACUGCUUUUGUACGGAACGAAACGGCGAGCUCUAAUACAGUUUGCUAAUGACGGUACCGUAAGAAUAAACACCGGCUAACUACGUGCCAGCAGCCGCGGUAA